UACGAAGGUCCCAAGCGUUGUUCGGAAUUACUGGGCGUAAAGCGUGCGUAGGCGGCGAGGUAAGUCAGAUGUGAAAUCCCGGGGCUCAACCCCGGAACUGCAUCCGAUACUGCCUUGCUAGAGUAAUGGAGGGGCAUCUGGAAUUCACGGUGUAGCAGUGAAAUGCGUGGAUAUCGUGAGGAACACUAGUGGCGAAGGCGAGAUGCUGGACAUUUACUGACGCUGAGGUACGAAGGCUAGGGUAGCGAAC
rnacentral:rRNA from 1 species